GUUCCUCAUCGCCUUUGUUUGUCGUGUCAAUGAUGACCAUGAAAAGAUUAGAGUCAUCACGAUGUAGCUCUUUAAGGAGAUUGAUAUCAAACCUAGGAAAAAGUUGCUUAGCUAGAGACAUGCACUUUUCAAAGCUGAUCUGGUAGGCCAUCAAAGAUGCCUUCAACACCCCAUGGAUGAGCCUGAUCUAGUUAACAUCAUAGUUCACCUCCACAAGAUCAACUUUGCCAUCGACGAAGUUGGUCACCGCCUUGCUCACCGCUAGCUCCAACUGAAGCUCUGCACUUAUUGAUCUCUCCCUGAUGAUGAACAUUCUAGGAUGGCAAUUCUCUCCUAUGCCAUGUGAAGCCUAUAUCAGAGUCGAACAACCUUCUCAGCACUGCCCCAUCUCACUUCUUCAACUGCCUUAUCCGAAUCCAAAAAGUGUUCUAGGAUGGCAAUCCUCUCUU
rnacentral:lncRNA from 1 species